CCUACGGGAGGCAGCAGUGGGGAAUUUUGGACAAUGGGCGCAAGCCUGAUCCAGCCAUGCCGCGUGAGUGAAGAAGGCCUUCGGGUUGUAAAGCUCUUUCAGUCGAGAAGAAAAGGCUGCAGUGAAUAACUGUAGUUUAUGACGGUAUCGACAGAAGAAGCACCGGCUAACUACGUGCCAGCAGCCGCGGUAAUA
rnacentral:rRNA from 1 species